rnacentral:rRNA from 1 species
AUACCGGCGGCUCGAGUGGUGGCCACUUUUAUUGGGCUUAAAGCGUUCGUAGCUGGGUUGCUAAGUCCCUUGGGAAAUCCGACAGCAUAACUGUCGGGCGUCUAAGGGAUACUGGUAAUCUUGGAACCGGGAGAGGUGAGGGGUACUUCGGGGGUAGGAGUGAAAUCCUGUAAUCCUCGAGGGACCACCUGUGGCGAAGGCGCCUCACCAGAACGGCUUCGACAGUGAGGGACGAAAGCUGGGGGAGC